rnacentral:rRNA from 4 species
CAGGUUUACCUGUGUGACUGCGUACCUUUUGUAUAAUGGGUCAGCGACUUAUAUUCUGUAGCAAGGUUAACCGUAUAGGGGAGCCGGAGGGAAACCGAGUCUUAAUUGGGCGUUAAGUUGCAGGGUAUAGACCCGAAACCCGGUGAUCUAGCCAUGGGCAGGUUGAAGGUUGGGUAACACUAACUGGAGGACCGAACCGACUAAUGUUGAAAAAUUAGCGGAUGACCUGUGGCUGGGGGUGAAAGGCCAAUCAAACCGGGAGAUAGCUGGUUCUCCCCGAAAGCUAUUUAGGUAGCGCCUCGUGAAUUCAUCUCCGGGGGUAGAGCACUGUUUCGGCUAGGGGGCCAUCCCGGCUUACCAACCCGAUGCAAACUGCGAAUACCGGAGAAUGUUAUCACGGGAGACACACGGCGGGUGCUAACGUCCGUCGUGAAGAGGGAAACAACCCAGACCGCCAGCUAAGGUCCCAAAGUCAUGGUUAAGUGGGAAACGAUGUGGGAAGGCCCAGACAGCCAGGAUGUUGGCUUAGAAGCAGCCAUCAUUUAAAGAAAGCGUAAUAGCUCACUGGUCGAGUCGGCCUGCGCGGAAGAUGUAACGGGGCUAAACCAU